GUACACGCUGUGACUAGCAUAUCAAUAAGCGGAGGAAAAGAAACUAACAAGGAUUCCCUCAGUAACGGCGAGUGAAGCGGGAAGAGCUCAAAUUUGAAAUCUUGAAAGGUCACCUUUCACGAAUUGUAGUUUAAAGAAGUGUUUUCUGUUACGAUCGUAAUAUAAGUUCUUUGGAAUAGGACAUCACAGAGGGUGAGAAUCCCGUCUAUGAUUGCGAUUUGUAGCUUUGUGAUACACUUUCAAAGAGUCGGGUUGUUUGGGAAUGCAGCCCAAACGGGAGGUAAAUUUCUUCUAAGGCUAAAUAUUGGCGAGAGACCGAUAGCGAACAAGUACCGUGAGGGAAAGAUGAAAAGAACUUUGAAAAGAGAGUUAAAUAGUACGUGAAAUUGUCAAAAGGGAAGCGUUUAACACCAGUGUUGUUUUCUGAAAAUCAACCUCUGUUAGCUUUAUGCAUGUUUGUUUAGACCUAAUCAGCUAUCUUGCAUGUUCUAUUGUUUGCAGUGGUGCACUUUUCAGUUUACAGGUCAACAUCAGUUUUUUUUACCGUAAAAAAGUUAAAGAAAGGUAGCUCAUGGCUCCGGUCGUGAGUGUUAUAGUCUUUUUCCUAUGCGGUAGGAGAGACUGAGGUCUGCAGUGUAGGCUAUUUGGCUAGAUACUCAGGUGCAAUGUGAUACCAUUUCAUAAACAACUUGUUGAUUAUGUUUUGUCUAUUGCAUACUCGCUUGUACUAUCAUACCUACGCUUAGGAUGUUGACGCAUGAGAUAUACGC
rnacentral:rRNA from 1 species